CCCUUAGACGUUCUGGGCCGCACGCGCGCUACACUGACCAGUGCAACAAGCAUCCGUCCUUGGCCGACAGGCUCGGGCAAUCUUUGAACGCUGGUCGUGAUGGGGAUAGACUUUUGCAAUUUUUGGUCUUCAACGAGGAAUUCCUAGUAAACGCAAGUCAUCAACUUGCAUUGAUUACGUCCCUGCCCUUUGUACACACCGCCCGUCGCACCUACCGAUUGAAUGGUCCGGUGAAGCCUCCGGAUUAGCGCGCACCUCGGUGCCGCCGAGAAGUUGGCUAAACCUUACCAUUUAGAGGAAGGUGAAGUCGUAACA
rnacentral:rRNA from 1 species